rnacentral:rRNA from 1 species
UACAGAGGUCCCAAGCGUUGUUCGGAUUCACUGGGCGUAAAGGGUGCGUAGGUGGCAAGGUAAGUUUGAUGUGAAAUCUCCGAGCUUAACUCGGAAACUGCAUUGAAUACUAUCUUGCUUGAGGGUUGGAGGGGGGACUGGAAUUCUCGGUGUAGCAGUGAAAUGCGUAGAUAUCGAGAGGAACACCUGCGGCGAAGGCGGGUUGCUGGGCUGACACUGACGCUGAUGCGCGAAAGCCAGGGGAGCGAACGGG